UCUGCCUUGGAUGGGGAAUAACGGCUGGAAACAGCCGCUAAUACCGCAUGAUGCAUCUGAGUCGCAUGGUUUGGAUGCCAAAGAUUUAUCGCUCUGAGAUGAGCUCGCGUCUGAUUAGCUAGUUGGCGGGGUAACGGCCCACCAAGGCGACGAUCAGUAGCCGGACUGAGAGGUUGGCCGGCCACAUUGGGACUGAGACACGGCCCAGACUCCUACGGGAGGCAGCAG
rnacentral:rRNA from 1 species